GGGGCAUACGGGGGGCAGCAGUGGGGAAUAUUGCACAAUGGGGGAAACCCUGAUGCAGCGACGCGGCGUGAGCGAAGAAGUAUUUCGGUAUGUAAAGCUCUAUCAGCAGGGAAGAAAAAUGACGGUACCUGAGUAAGAAGCACCGGCUAAAUACGUGCCAGCAGCCGCGGUAAUACGUAUGGUGCAAGCGUUAUCCGGAUUUACUGGGUGUAAAGGGAGCGAAGGCGGUGCGGCAAGGCUGGUGUGAAAGCCCGG
rnacentral:rRNA from 1 species